rnacentral:rRNA from 1 species
CAGUGGGAGCACAGAGCAAUCUGUGUGACUGCGUACCUUUUGUAUAAUGGGUCAGCGACUUAUAUUCUGUAGCAAGGUUAACCGAAUAGGGGAGCCGAAGGGAAACCGAGUCUUAACUGGGCGUUAAGUUGCAGGGUAUAGACCCGAAACCCGGUGAUCUAGCCAUGGGCAGGUUGAAGGUUGGGUAACACUAACUGGAGGACCGAACCGACUAAUGUUGAAAAAUUAGCGGAUGACUUGUGGCUGGGGGUGAAAGGCCAAUCAAACCGGGAGAUAGCUGGUUCUCCCCGAAAGCUAUUUAGGUAGCGCCUCGUGAAUUCAUCUCCGGGGGUAGAGCACUGUUUCGGCAAGGGGGUCAUCCCGACUUACCAACCCGAUGCAAACUGCGAAUACCGGAGAAUGUUAUCACGGGAGACACACGGCGGGUGCUAACGUCCGUCGUGAAGAGGGAAACAACCCAGACCGCCAGCUAAGGUCCCAAAGUCAUGGUUAAGUGGGAAACGAUGUGGGAAGGCCCAGACAGCCAGGAUGUUGGCUUAGAAGCAGCCAUCAUUUAAAGAAAGCGUAAUAGCUCACUGGUCGAGUCGGCCUGCGCGGAAGAUGUAACGGGGCUAAACCAUGCACCGAAGCUGCGGCAGCGACGCUGAUGCGUUGUUGGGUA